GGCGAGGUAGCUCAGAUGGUUAGAGCGCGCGACUCAUAAUCGCGAGGUCGUGGGUUCAAUUCCCUCUCUCGCUA
rnacentral:tRNA from 1 species